rnacentral:rRNA from 1 species
UACGUAGGGAGCAAGCGUUGUCCGGAAUCAUUGGGCGUAAAGCGCGCGUAGGUGGCUUCAUAAGUCCGUUGUGAAAGUCAAAGGCUCAACCUUUGAAAGCCGAUGGAUACUGUGGAGCUAGAGUACGGAAGAGGCGAGUGGAAUUCCUGGUGUAGCGGUGGAAUGCGCAGAUAUCAGGAAGAACACCUAUGGCGAAGGCAGCACUCUGGGACGGUACUGACGCUGAGACGCGAAAGCGUGGGGGAGCGAACAGG